CCUGGACUAUCUUGAUUUGCCCCCAACUUUUAAAUUUGGAAUAAAAUCUAAUAUAAGAUGGCCUAGUGCAGUCAUUAUUAAUCAUGAUGGAUAAGGAAGAAUUAAGAGAAAUAUUGAGAAUUGAGCUGACCUAGAAAGGAAGUUCAGAAACUAAUUUAGAAAAGAAAACAAAGGAUGAUGAGGGCCAUAUUGACUAUUUCCUGAGAUGUCUUUUUGUCCAUUUGUUAAAUGUUUUUGUUUUAAUUAACUGUAUUUUUAGUUCAAUAAAUUAAUAGUCACAUAUGUUGCUACAAACAUGCUUUAUCAAAUUUCCAAAACAGCCAAUUGGCAUUUUUGCUUUUUAAAGGAUUGCACAACAACAAGAGAGACCAAGGGCUUUUCUCUGGUUCCUUCACCAAGACAUCUGAUCACCUUUGUAACUAUACUAUUUGAACAGUCUGCAGUUUGUUGAAACUUGACCUCACAUUAACUGAAGCAGCUUCAAAUUCAUUACAGGAAAGUGAAAACCAAUUUGAUAUUUGAGAUUCUUAAGUGAAAAGCAAAGGAGAAAAGGGAAUAUACCCAUUUGAAUGCAGUUCCAAAGAAUAGCAAGAAGAGAUAAGAAAGCCUUCCUCAGAGAUCCAUGCAAAGAAAUAGAGGAAAACAAUAGAACGGGAAAGACGAGAGAUCUCUUCAAGAAAAUGAGAGAUACCAAGGAAACAUUUCAUGCAAAGAUGGGCUUAAUAAAGGACAGAAAUGGUAGGGACUUAACAGACAGAAAAUAUUAAGAAGAGGUGGCAAGAAUACACAGAAGAACUGGACAAAAAGAUCUUCAUGACCAAGAUAAUCACGAUGGUGUGAUCACUCAUCUAGAGCCAGACAUCCUGGAAUGUGAAGUCAAGUGGGCCCUAAAAGCAUCACUACGAACAAAGCUAGUGGGGGUGAUGGAAUUCCAGUUGAGCUAUUUCAAAUCCUGAAAGAUGAUGCUGUGAAAGUGCUGCACUCAAUAUGCCAGCAAAUUUGGAAAACUCAGCAGUGGCCGCAAGACUGGAAAAGGUCAGUUUUCAUUCCAAUCCCAAAGAAAGGCAAUGCCAAAGAAUGCUCAAACUACUGCACAAUUGCACUCAUCUCACAUGCUAGUAAAGUAAUGCUCAAAAUUCUCCAAGCUAGGCUGCAGCAAUAUGUGAACUGUGAACUAACAGAUGUUCAAGCUGGUUUUAGAAAAGGCAGAGGAACCAGAGAUCAAAUUGCCAACAUCUGCUAGAUCAUGGAAAAAGCAAGAGAGUUCCAGAAAAACAUCUAUUUCUGUUUUAUUGACUAUGCUAAAGCCUUUGACUGUGUGGAUCACAAUAAACUGGAAAAUUC
ensembl:lncRNA